rnacentral:rRNA from 1 species
CACAAGUGGUGGAGCAUGUGGUUUAAUUCGAAGAUACACGAAGAACCUUACCUGGCCUUGACAUGGUAGGAACCCUUAAGAGAUUAGGGGGUGCUAGCUUGCUAGAACCUACACACAGGUGCUGCACGGCUGUCGUCAGCUCGUGUCGUGAGAUGUUGGGUUAAGUCCCGCAACGAGCGCAACCCUCGUCCUUAGUUGCUAACAGUUCGGCUGAGCACUCUAGGGAGACUGCCUUCGCAAGGAGGAGGAAGGUGAGGACGACGUCAAGUCAUCAUGGCCCUUACGGCCAGGGCUACACACGUGCUACAAUGGGGCGUACAGAGAGCUGCGAUACCGCGAGGUGGAGCCAAUCUCUUAAAGCGUCUCUCAGUUCGGAUUGUUCUCUGCAACUCGGGAACAUGAAGCUGGAAUCACUAGUAAUCGCAGAUCAGCAUGCCGCGGUGAAUACGUUCCCGGGCCUU